AGAUGCCACCACACUGUCAAAAGCGAGUGAGGAGUAUCGGGCAGAGAUUUCCAUGCUUCUGCGUGACGUUUCUCUCCAUGUUGAACAAGAAGGAAGGAAUGUCAUCAGUGACAUGCUAGACAAAGGGAAGAGAAUUCUACAAGAACAUCUGGAAACCUUUGUCCAUACAGGUCUUUGCCCAAACAGUUGCGGGUUGCUAAAUCAGAGAGUCAUAAACUGUGAGACCUGUGCCUCUCAGAUACGCACCUGCCCCUCUCCACUCGGCCGGGAUACCUGUGGCAGUGAGUUAUACUUGUCCAUCCAUCCAUCUAUAUGUCUGUCCAUAUCUGUAUACACAAAUACACAGUAUGUCUUCCUUCCUGCUCUGCUCCUCUUUUUUGUUUGUUACCGUACGUCACCAGCAGGGUAGUAUUAAUUUUUCUU